UUUCCGAAUGUGAUCCAAUUAUAUAACAAAAAUGGCGUCCAACAUGUUUCUUUAUUGGGGCACUGGCAGUGUUCCCUGCUGGAAAGCAAUGAUAGCUUUAGAAGAGAAGGGAUUCGGUGGUUAUCAAAACAAACUUAUCUCAUUCGACAACGAAGAAAACAAAGCAGAGUAUGUCACGAAACUGAACCCUCGUGGACAGGUGCCAGCAUUUAAAGAUGGAGAUAUUGUUGUGAAUGAGUCUUGGGCCAUUUGUGAUUACUUGGAGCGUAGAUAUGGCAACCAAGGAACACAACUGAUUCCAUCCGAUGUCAAGGAACAAGCUAAUGUUUUACAAAGGAUGUAUGAAAUAUUUAAUGUAGAAAAUACAGUAUUAAAAGAACUGGCUUAUUAUUAUAUGUUUGAUACC